GACGAACGCUGGCGGCGUGCCUAAUACAUGCAAGUCGAACGCAGUGGGGACGGGUGAGUAACACGUGGGUAACCUCCCAUCAGAGGGGAGAACACUUGGAAACAGGUGCUAAACUGAUACUGAUGGAUGAAACCGCGGUGCAUUAGCUAGUUGGUGAGGUAACGGCUCAACAAGGCCACGAAGCAUAGCCGAUCUGAGCGGGUGAUCGGCCACACUGUGACUGAGACACGGCCCAGACUCCUACGGGAGGCAGCAUUAGGGAAUCUUCGGCAAUGGACGAAAGUCUGACCGAGCAACGCCGCGGGAGUGAAGAAGGUUUUCGGAUCGUAAAACUCUGUUGUUAGAGAAGCGGUAUCUAACCAGAAAGCCACGGCUAACUACGUGCCAGCAGCCGCGGUAAUUC
rnacentral:rRNA from 1 species